UGCCCCAUGCUCCAGAAUAGCUCUUGGAAACGGGUGGUAAUGCUGGAUGCUCCAACUUGACGCAUGUCUUGUUGGGAAGUGUUUAGUGGCAGUGGGAGUGGGGUCGCGUCCUAUCAGCUUGUAGGGCGGGGUAAUGGCCCACCUAGGCUUCGACGGGUAGCCGGCCUGAGAGGGCGGACGGCCACAUUGGGACUGAGAUACGGCCCAGACUCCUACGGGAGGCAGCAGCU
rnacentral:rRNA from 1 species